rnacentral:lncRNA from 1 species
UUUGGCACCCGCAGACCUGCAGGUCCGGCUGUAGCUAGCAGCAAGGUGUAGGAUAGUCAAUCCAGUAUAGAUCUAUACGCAAACUCACGCUCUCCCUCCAAGAGAAUUCUGGCUACAACUCGGGCCAUGACAUUUAAGGCAUGCUCCGACACAGUGGAUCACAAUUGUUAAUGUAUUCAUGUAUAUGUAAUGUUUCUCGUUCUAGUAUAGUUGUAUAUGUUCUCCUUCUAGUAUAGUUGUAUAUGUUCUGUUUCUAGUAUAGUUGUAUAUGUUCCUGUUUCUAGUAUAGCUGUAUAUGUACAUGUUUCUAGUAUAGCUGUAUAUGUUCAUGUUUCUAGUAUAGCUGUAUAUGUUCAUGUUUCUAAUACAGUUGUAUAUGUUCCUGUGUUACCCCGAUGGUAACUAACUAUUGAUGUACUGAUAAGUAUGAAUAUGGAAGUACUUUUAUGUCUAUACAUGUAUAUAUGAUAUAUAACUAAUAUCGAACGGACCUUCGGAUGGUCACCCGAAAUCCCACCAGACCACAUCCAAAUCGAGAAAAAGGAAAUAGGGCGGAUGGCCUUCCUAAGACCUUUAAACAUUGCUUAUAUAUAUACAUAUAUGGGCAUGCAAAUUAUAAGGAAAUAAACUAAAGUUUAAUAAAAGCAUUUGAUAAGUAAAAGAGUUUGUAAAACAUUUUGAAGUGAAACAAUUUGAUAAAUAGUUUGAACAGUGAAUAAAUCAUUGGUUUUCUAAUUAUAAAUCACAUGUGAUUAAUGCAAUCACAUGUGAUUGAUGCAAUAACUAUAAGUAUUUAACUUGUAUUCCCCCCCCCCCCAUAAAGUAUUUAAAACAUUNUAAAAUCAUUUCAAAGGUUGAUUAAAUGGGUAUGAACUCACUUGUGGUGAGCUGUUUGAAUUGAAGUGUCGGAUACCGUGCUAGGUGGCAAACGGAGACUUGUUUACACGCACGAGCCUAGUUAUCAUAUAAUAAGCAUAUAUAUAACUAAUUAGCCAAAUAAUAACUUAAUAAUUUAAGUUAGAACACUUAGGGACAUGUAAACACUUUGCAUAAGUGUUAAAGGCCCUAAUGGUUGCAUCUAAGUUGCUACGGGACAAGGCAAAAGGGUUUGAAGCUUACAAAGACCUUGUAUAAGAGUUCACCACCCAACAAACCCCACCUUUGGAGUUUACGGAAGUAAACUCAUGAGUUUAUGGCCGUGAACUCCUCACUUGGUGGUUUUGGGUGUUUUAAGGUGCUAUCUUGAUCCUAGAAUAAGCCUAGCUUUGUUGGAACAAUCCUUGAAGUAGUUUAAGGCCCUAGAAUGCUCCAUAGAGGAGUUUACGGCCUAAAGACCAUAUCCCCUAGAUUUUAUGGCCGUAAACUCCUAUGGGGUGUUGGUUUUAAUUCAUUUAAGUCACUUGCACAAGUAGGAUAGUUUCCAUGUUUUUAUCUAAGGCUAAAGGGGAUAUUAGGCACACAUUUGUGCCUUCACUUGGAGUUUACGGCCCAAGUGAUGUUCCUUGGCUGUAAAAUCCCUUUAAGGGAUGGUUUUGAUGUAGUUUAAUCCCCAUUCAAGUCCUAUGCAUUCAAGGGUAAUUGUCUUUAAGCCUAAGGGGUCUUUAGGGUACAUUUUUCCCUAGAAAAAGGGGUUUACGGCCCAAGAGAUAUCCUUGGCUGUAAACUCCUAUAACUCCAUGAUUUUGAAGUGUUUUAGUGUCCAAAAUAGCUACAAGCAUUAGAGGGUAAAUGCCUUAAGCCUUAAGGGUGGUUUAGGGCUCACUUUGGCCCUUGGAAAUGGUGUUUACAGUCCAAGAACUCUUGGGCCGUAAACUCCAAAAGACUUAUGAUCUUGGGUGAUUUCUAGCCUCUAAAGAUCCUACAAUAAGUCCUAAUCAGUUUGUCUAACAAGGAAUCGGGACUAGGUAGCCUUAAAGCUCCAUUUUGGAGUUUACUCCCCAAGAACGUUCUUGGGCGGUAAACUCCCGGAUCUAGCAUUUUAGACAAGUAAUAAAUGUUAUAAAGCAUAUAACAAGCAUUAAAACACAUUUAGGAAAGUAGACUCACAAUCUGGGAUGAAAACCCGAAGAUCCGUCAGAGAGAAAAUGGCUUUUCUCUAGUUGGAAUUGUGAAUAAUGAAUUAAUUUAAUUCAGAAAUCUAUUUAUAGUCCUGAAAUAUUUUGGCAGAAAAUAUUUUUAUUCCGGAAAUUGGACUGUAACAUUAUGAAACUUGAAAUGUUCAAAUUUCAUAAAACCAGGAGCAUCCACUCUCCUGAUAUCUCCUUAAAUGUAAGCCCUAAUGUACACAAACUUGUUCGGAAAAGUAUGAAAAAUCGCUGAAACUGGACUAGCUUCUAUUGAAUAGAUAAUGUUCGUACAAUGGAAAUUUCGGGUUGUCACAUCAUCCCCCUGCUAGAAGGAAUUUCAUUUCGAAAUUAGAAUUUAAGCAAAUACGAAGUUACAACAAUUAAGCGAAAAGAUGAGGGUAUUUCAGCUUCAUCUGAUCCUCGCGUUCCCAAGUGAAUUCCGGUCCUCGCUUGGUGUUCCAGCGAACCUUCACGAUAGGGAUACGGCUUUGCUUCGUCUGCUUGACCUCACGGUCCAUGAUCUCUACUGGUUCUUCCACGAAGUUGAGGCUCUCGUUGAUCUCGAUCUCGUCGAGUGGGAUUACAAGAGUCUCGUCGGAUAGACACUUUUUCAAGUUAGAUACGUGGAAUGUAAAAUGUACGUGACGAAGUGUAUCGGGUAGGUUGAGUUUGUAAGCUAUGGGGCCGACUCUGGCAAGAAUCUCAAAAGGCCCUAUGUACCUCGGAUUAAGCUUCCCACGCUUGCUGAAGCGUAUCAAGCCUUUCCAGUGUGAGACUUUGAGAAGGACUCGUCUCCCACCUGAAAUUCCAAAGGUUUUCUUCGUUUAUCGGCGUAGCUCUUCUGUCGGUCUCUAGAGGCUUUCAAUCAUUCACGGAUCUGAACGAUUUUCUCUGUCGUUUCCCGAAUGAUUUCCGGACCGGUGAGAGUACUGUCGGAAGCUUGCCCCCUGGCUAAUUGGGUAUCACCCACCUCAGCCCAGCACAGAGGGGAUCUGCACUUUCGGCCGUAGAGAGCUUCGAAUGGAGCAGCCUUGAUGCUCGUGUGAUAACUGUUAUUAUAGGAAAAUUCGACAAGGGGUAAAUGAGUAUCCCAUGCCUUUCCAAAAUCAAUCACACAGGCUCGCAACAUAUCUUCCAGUGUUUGGAUGGUCCUCUCACUCUGUCCGUCGGUCUGUGGAUGGUAGGCUGUGCUCAUGUCCAGCCUUGUUCCUAGGGAAUGUUGUAGUGAUUGCCAAAAUCUUGAGGUGAACCUACUAUCUCUAUCGGAGAUAAUGGAAAUAGGUACACCAUGCAACCGUACAAUUUCCCUAAUGUAUGUUCUCGUAAGUUUCUCCAUCUUGUCGGUUUCUUUGAUAGGCAGGAAGUGUGCAGACUUGGUCAAUCUAUCAACGAUGACCCAUAUGGUGUCAAGUCCACCCGUUGUCUUGGGCAACUUGGUUAUGAAAUCCAUAGUGAUCCGCUCCCACUUCCAUUCUGGAAUCUCUGGUUGUUGCAGUAAACCAGAGGGCUUCUGGUACUCGACCUUAACCUUUGCGCAAGUAAGGCAUUUACUUACGAAGGUAGCAAUCUCUGCUUUCAUAUUAGGCCACCAGUAUAGCUUUUUAAGAUCCAGAUACAUCUUAUCUGAACCUGGGUGGACGGAAUACCGAGUGUUGUGCGCCUCGGUCAUGACCAAGUCUCGGAAACCACUGUGUUUCGGUGUCCAGAUCCGGUUCAUGAAAUAUAAAGCUCCGGCACCCUUGGCUUCUAAAUUCUUUUCCAUUCCCCUAAGGGAUUCACUCAUCACAUUUUCAGGUUUCGUGGCCUCAAGUUGAGCCACCUAAAUUUGCUUAGACAAGUGUGAAUGGAUGGUUAUUGACAAUGACUUGACUUUGCGACCAAAAUAUUCCUUCCGACUUAGGGCGUCUGCUACUACGUUGGCUUUACCCGGAUGAUAACGAAUAUCACAUUCGUAAUCACUGAGUAGCUCGACCCACCGUCGUUGUCUCAUGUUGAGCUCCUUCUGAUCGAAAAUAUGUUGUAAACUCUUGUGGUCGGUAAAGAUAGUGCUCUUCGUUCCAUACAAGUAAUGUCUCCAGAUCUUCAGAGCAAACACUACUGCUCCUAGUUCAAGAUCGUGGGUCGUGUAUUUAACCUCGUAUGUCUUCAACUGUCUCGAAGUGUAGGCAAUGACCUUACCUCGCUGCAUUAGAACACAUCCGAGUCCUUGNCGUCAGAAGCUUGCCCCUUGGCUAAUUGGGUAUCACCCACCUCAGCCCAGCACAAAGGGAUCUGCAUUUUCGGCCGUAGAGAGCUUCGAAUGGAGCAGCCUNNNNNNNNNNNNNNNNNNNNNNNNNNNNNNNNNNNNNNNNNNNNNNNNNNNNNNNNNNNNNNNNNNNNNNNNNNNNNNNNNNNNNNNNNNNNNNNNNNNNUUGACCUAAAUUUGAUUUGCGUCCCAACAUAUCGUUUUGAAAUAUUGGGUUGUCACAGUAGCUCCUGGGACUAAGUCGGUUCUGAACUCGACCUGUCAUUGUGGAGGUAACCCGGGUAGUUCUUCUGGGAAAACGUCGGGGAAGUCACUCACUACUGGGAUGUUCUUUAGUUCUUUCGUUUCUAGGUUCAUGUCGACGACGUGAGCAAGAAAUGUGUGGUAUUCUUUGCGCAGAUAUUUAUGUGCUUGAAUACUUGAUGUAAUGCGAAGACUCGCACCAGGUUUGUCGCCGUAGACUAUAAGAGUUUCAUUAGACGGGAGGUUUAGACGGACUGCUUUCUCGUAGCACAUGAUGUCGGCGCGAUGAAGACUUAACCAAUCCAUACUGAUAAUAACGUCGAAGCUUCCCCGGAGCAGUAGCAGUAGUAGGGGUUAGCGCAGCAUGCACUGCCACGAUUUGCUAUUUCUUGGCAGCUCGCUGUUUCUUCUUCUCAUCCCAGAAUUUCCACUUAGUGUCAGCGGGUUUGGAGGGUUCUGGGAUGGCUAGGGUGGUUGUCGUUGCAGGGUUUUUGACUCCAUGGUCAAUGAGUCUUUGUGCCAAACGCUUGGCACUGUCGAAGGUAGCGGGGUUUGAUGCUAGGACAUUCCCCUGGUACGGAGGCACUAGCCCCCAUAUGUACCGUUCAAUCUUUUUCCCCUCAGUGGGAACCAUAUUGGGGCAGAGGGCCACCAGUUCGCUAAAUCGGGCAGUGUACGCGAUCACAUUGGUGCCCUUUAUGGUCAGGUUCCAGAGUUCCUGUUCCAACUUCUGGAUUUCACCCCUCGGGCAGUAUACCUCAUUCAUGAGGUCCUUCAUCGUUUCCCAGCCCAUGUCGUUAGCCACGACGAGAGUUAGGGCUUUGACGUGGCCGUUCCACCACGUUAGGGCUUUAUCCUCAAAGGUGCACGCGGCAUAUUUCACUUUAAAUGCAGCAGGGCACGAACAGAUUUCGAAGACUGAUUCAGUCUUCUCGAACCAUUGCGAGAGAGCAAUGACUCCGCCGGUGCCAUAGAAAGGCUUCGGCUUGCAGUUUGUAAAAUCCUUGUAAGAGCACUCUCUCGAGCGCACAGGGAUUUCAACUGGGAUAGAUUCAACAGGGGUUCCACCUCUGCUAGCAUCCGAUGAGUGAUACUGAGCCAUGGCAGUUGCCACUGCUGCAGCUACGGCAGCAUUCAGGGCUGCAGUAUCGAUGACUGCAGGUGGUGGAGGCGGUGGAGGUACAGGAUUAUUCCUAUUCCUGGGAGAUUUGCGAGGAGGCAUCCUUCAGCUAUAAGUUUAUAAAGACAAGAAGGAUGAUAAGAAUCAAUUUGUAAGCAACGUGAGAGUGACCCAUGGACUAACUAACCAUAGCCCAACAGUUUGAAUGAGUGUUUGAAAUCACAAUAAGAAAUAUUAGUAGGAAUACACAAGUGUACAAAUUUUUCCCACAGAUUAGAUAGAUUUCAAUAGUACGGGUAUUACUGAUGUAAUAAGUUCAAGGAAAAUCGACCUAACAGUAGGUCUUACAUCAUACCAUAAGGACAAGACUGACAGUCCUAGAUUCCUAAUUAGAGUAUCGAAAGUUAGGAAUAUUUUACAGACAAGUGCUACUUAGAGCACAUAAGUUCAAGGCUAUCCCUAAAUCAAAAGACAGAGAUGUACUAGACAUCAUCUAAUGGCGAUGGGAAUUCCUCGGGCGAUCCCUGAGGUCGGACACUUGGCGAAACACCUCUUGAAGGUGUCGGUCCUGAGCUCUCUGACGAGCUCGAAGUUCUAAGACUUCAGCACGGGAGGCAGCCAGCUGUUGCUGCAGAGUUUCGUUGGUUCUCCGGGUCCGUUCCAUGUCUUCUUCAAGACGGCGGAUGCGGACUGUAUUGACACCUGAAUUGGCAUCAAUCUCCAUGACCCGGUCGAUGGCUGCUCGACCUUGCUCGACAUUACGAGCUAUUCUGCGGAUGAUUACCGGCAGAGCUCUGUCAGCAGAGCCACCAUCGCUGAUGUUGUAAAAGGUUCGGUCCCCAAAGUAUGGUAAGGGCUGACCCUGCUCAUCACUCCAGCGAUUCAGAUUGUUUGCCCACAUGGGAGUAGGACCUGGAAACGCUGGUCGAGGGUUGUUGUUCGGGGCUUGACCUACAAGCGGUAGGUUGUUGACUUCAGGCUCGGAGUCGGAUCCAUCCGAAAAGCCUUCUGCGAGGUGAUCAUCCAAAGGGAUUGGAUGCUCAUCUUCGGGCUCUUCAUCGAUCCACCCGGCAUUGCCUUCAUUGGGAAAGUACGGGUCGCCAUGAUGGAAUCCAGCCAUUUAGAUCUACGCGAGAAGAGAGGUAUAAGAAUAUAGUAUACGUGUAACUAGUAGUACAAAAUACACCUAUAGUAUUUUAAGUUUAAGUUCUACUGAUCUUCUUGUGGUAUUGUUGGUAAGUUUUUAGACUUGUUAACAUAUCACAACCAUUCUAGGGCAUAUGCUAAUCACUCCUAGGACCAGCAUAGUUGAUCAGGCUAUGCCAUUCCCAGGACUGACCAUACAUCCCCGAGCUCACUUGUGAUAUUCAACAAUCGUAAUACUUUUGUUCUUGUCAUUGUGACACUGAUUUUAGUAUGAAUGCAGACUAGUAUACUUAAUUAAAUAUUUUAUUAUUUAAAGUAUAGACUCUUGGUCAGAGUGUUUUAAUCCCUUUUGGGUUUAUAGUUUAGUAUAUCUUUUAUGGGUUGAUAUACUUGAUUCACUAUAAACAAUGCUCUGAUACCAAUCUGUCACACCCCAAAACCAAGAACGGCGGAAACGUUCUGGGGCGGAGGACGUCAUGUAUAGUAUCACAACACAGUAAAUGUAAAUAAGCAAACAACAUCAUCCAUUGCAUUAAAUAUAUAAUUUUAAUACAAGCGUGUUCUGUACAGUUAUAGACACCAAAAUAAUGUAAAUCAAAAUAAUAAGAUGAGUCUUGAAUACGCUCCAUCUUCUCAAAAGCUGGCCUCGGUACCUGUCUACUGAUGACCUGAGAAUACAAGUUAUUUUGAAAGAGUUUAUCAGCAUUAAGCUGGUGAGUUCAUAAGUAUUUUAGUGUCAAUGUUUGUUGUCAAAAACGUUUGAACCUGUCUCAAUGUAUAAGUUUGUAAAAAUGUAAGUAAGUGUUUGAAAGUGUUUGUAAAAGUUUGAAUCUCUCAGAAAAACCUAUAUUUUCUAUUAAAGUAACCUUCUACCAAGGCUUAACUGUUUUGUAUACUCGUUUGUUGUAAAAGUGUGUAAUUUCCCAAGUGUAACUAUCAUUUAAUAAAAUAUAGUUUGUACAUUAAUGCUUAAGUGAGGUUAUCACUAAAAUAUGUAAUGGGUAAAUCAUUGUAGUACUGUAGUUUUGUAUAAUAGGAACUACUGUUGUACUAACUACCUUAAACCGGAUUUAUAUUAAGGUAUAAUGUGAUAAAUUGCACCAUGCUAUCGACUGGUAACAACGACAUAAUGAAUGGUCGUAAUAAAGAAAUGACGUUUGGCACCCGCAGACCUGCAGGUCCGGCUGUAGCUAGCAGCAAGGUGUAGGAUAGUCAAUCCAGUAUAGAUCUAUACGCAAACUCACGCUCUCCCUCCAAGAGAAUUCUGGCUACAACUCGGGCCAUGACAUUUAAGGCAUGCUCCGACAUAGUGGAUCACAAUUGUUAACGUAUUCAUGUAUAUGUAAUGUUUCUCGUUCUA